UACAGAGGGGGCAAGCGUUGUUCGGAAUUACUGGGCGUAAAGGGCGCGUAGGCGGCCUUCUAAGUCGAACGUGAAAUCCCCGGGCUCAACCCGGGAACUGCGUCCGAUACUGGAAGGCUUGAAUCCGGGAGAGGGAUGCGGAAUUCCAGGUGUAGCGGUGAAAUGCGCAGAUAUCGGGAGGAACACCGGUGGCGAAGGCGGGCGAAGCUCGGUCUGGCUACGUGACGCUGAGGUAGCGAAAGCGUGGGGAGCAACAGGG
rnacentral:rRNA from 1 species